GGAAAGGUGAAAAGAACCCCGGGAGGGGAGUGAAAGAGAACCUGAAACCCUGUGUUUACAAGCAGACAAAGCACGUUAAGGUGCGAUGUCGUACUUUUUGUAGAACGGUCCGGCGAGUUAUUUUAUAUGGCAAGGUUAAGUACUAUUAAGGUACGAAGCCGAAGCGAGAGCGAGUCUGAAAAGGGCGAGUAAGUCAUAUGAAAUAGACCCGAAACCGAGUGACCUAUCCAUGGUCAGGAUGAAGCUUGAGUAAAAUCAAGUGGAGGUCCGAACCCAUAAGCGUUAAAAAGCUUCGGGAUGAACUGUGGAUAGCGGAGAAAUUCCAAUCGAACUCGGAGAUAGCUGGUUCUCCUCGAAAUAGUUUUAGGACUAGCCUUGUUUAGUAGUAUGUGGGGGUAGAGCACUGAAUGAGCUAGGGGCCAAACCAGGUUACUGAACUCUAUCAAACUCCGAAUACCAUGUACGUAAGAACAGGAGUCAGACUGCGGGAGCUAAGUUCCGUGGUCAAAAGGGAAAGAGCCCAGAUCGUCAAUUAAGGUCCCAAAGAUAUAGUUAAGUGGAAAACGAUGUGAUUUUGCGUAAACAACCAGGAUGUUGGCUUAGAAGCAGCCAUUCAUUUAAAGAGUGCGUAAUAGCUCACUGGUCGAGUGGAGUUGCGCGGAAAAUUACCGGGGCUAAACUAUACACCGAAAUUGCGGAUUCAUGAGUAAUCAUGAGUGGUAGAGGAGCAUUCUAUAGUAGGACGAAGGUAGAUCGAAAGGACUACUGGACGAGAUAGAAGAGAGAAUGCCGGAAUAAGUAGCGAAAGCAUGGUGAGAAUCCAUGCCAUCGAAAGUCUAAGGUUUCCUGGGGAAGGUUCGUCCGCCCAGGGUAAGUCGGGACCUAAGGAGAGGCCGAAAGGCGUAUCUGAUGGACAGCAGGUAGAAAUUCCUGCACCACCGAUAUACUUAAAAAAUGCAAGGGACACAGUAGUGGAAGGAAAGCGAGGAAGAGGAAAGACUCGUAUCGAAAGAUAUAGUGAAAAAAUAAGUAACGAAUUUCCAAGAAGCACACUGGCGAGAAAAGCUUGUAGGAAUUGUAUAAAGGUGCCCGUACCGCAAACCGACACAGGUAGAUGAGGAGAGGAUCCUAAGAUGAGCGAGAGAAGCAUUGUUAAGGAACUCGGCAAAUUGACCCCGUAACUUAGGGAGAAGGGGUGCCAAAGUAAAAUUUGGUCGCAGAGAAGAGGCCCAAGCAACUGUUUAACAAAAACACAGGUUUCUGCUAAAUCGAAAGAUGAAGUAUAGGAGCUGACGCCUGCCCAGUGCUGGAAGGUUAAGGGGAAGAGUUAGAUGUAAGUCGAAGCUUAGAACCAAAGCCCCAGUGAACGGCGGCCGUAACUAUAACGGUCCUAAGGUAGCGAAAUUCCUUGUCAGGUAAGUUCUGACCCGCACGAAAGGCGUAAUGAUUUGGGCGCUGUCUCGACAAUGUACUCGGCGAAAUUGUAGUACUAGUGAAGAUGCUAGUUACCUGCGACAAGACAGAAAGACCCCAUGGAGCUUUACUGUAGCUUGAUACUGGGUUUCGAUAAUUUAUGUACAGGAUAGGUGGGAGGCGAAGAAGCAAUUGCGCCAGCAGUUGUGGAGUCAUCCUUGGGAUACCACCCUUAAGUUAUUGAAAUUCUAACCUGUAGUCCUGAGCGGGCUAGGGGACAAUGUCAGGCGGGCAGUUUGACUGGGGCGGUCGCCUCCAAAAGAGUAACGGAGGCGCGCAAAGGUUUCCUCAGCGCGGACAGAAAUCGCGCGAAAGAGUGCAAAGGCAGAAGGAAGCUUAACUGAGAGACUGACAAGUCGACCAGAUACGAAAGUAGGUCUUAGUGAUCCGGCGGUAGUGAGUGGAAAUGCCGUCGCUCAACGGACAAAAGUUACCCUGGGGAUAACAGGCUUAUCUCCCCCAAGAGUUCACAUCGACGGGGAGGUUUGGCACCUCGAUGUCGGCUCA
rnacentral:rRNA from 1 species